AUGGUGAAGCUUGCAUUCGGAAGCUUCGGCGACUCGUUCAGCGGCACGUCCGUCAGAUCCUAUGUCGCGGAGUUCAUCGCCACCCUCCUCUUCGUGUUCGCCGGCGUCGGGUCCGCCAUUUCCUACGGGCAACUAACGCAGGGUGGCGCGCUAGACCCGGCUGGCCUUGUGGCAAUCGCCAUCGCCCAUGCCUUCGCCCUCUUCGUCGGUGUGGCGAUGGCUGCCAACAUCUCCGGCGGCCACCUGAACCCCGCCGUCACGUUCGGCCUCGCCGUCGGCGGCCACGUCACCAUCCUCACCGGGCUCUUCUACUGGGUCGCCCAGCUGCUCGGCGCCACCGUGGCAUGCCUCCUCCUGCAGUUUGUCACCAACGGCCAGCCUAUGCCGACGCACGCCGUGUCCGGGAUCAGCGAGGUCGAGGGCGUGGUGAUGGAGAUCGUAAUCACCUUCGCGCUGGUGUACACGGUGUACGCCACGGCGGCCGACCCCAAGAAGGGCUCCCUCGGCACCAUCGCGCCCAUGGCGAUCGGCUUCAUCGUCGGCGCCAACAUCCUCGCCGCCGGGCCCUUCAGCGGCGGCUCCAUGAACCCGGCGCGCUCCUUCGGCCCGGCCGUGGCGGCCGGCAACUUCUCCGGCCACUGGGUGUACUGGGUCGGGCCACUCAUCGGCGGCGGCCUCGCCGGGCUCGUCUACGGCGACGUGUUCAUCGCCUCCUACCAGCCGGUCGGCCACCAGGACUACCCGUGA
rnacentral:rRNA from 1 species